ACGGCUCAGUAACACGUGGAUAACCUGCCCUGUGGAGGGAAAUAACCCCGGGAAACUGGGGAUAAUGUCCCAUAGACUACGGAUACUGGAAUGUUCUGUAGUUCAAAGAUUUAUCGCCACAGGAUGGAUCUGCGGCCGAUUAGGUAGUUGUUGGGGUAACGGCCCAACAAGCCUUUGAUCGGUACGGGUUGUGGGAGCAAGAGCCCGGAGAUGGAUUCUGAGACACGAAUCCAGGCCCUACGGGGCGCAGCAGGCGCGAAAACUUUACAAUGCGGGAAACCGUGAUAAGGGAACUCCGAGUGUCCGUAAAUGCGGACUGUCCGUAUGUCUAAAAAGCAUGCGAAGAAAGGGCCGGGCAAGACCGGUGCCAGCCGCCGCGGUAAUACCGGCGGCUCGAGUGGUGGCCACUAUUACUGGGCUUAAAGCGUUCGUAGCUGGGUUGUUAAGUCUCUUGGGAAAUCUACCGGCUUAACCGAUAGGCGUCCAAGGGAUACUGGCAAUCUAGGGACCGGGAGAGGUGAGGGGUACUUCAGGGGUAGGAGUGAAAUCCUGUAAUCCUUGGGGGACCACCUGUGGCGAAGGCGCCUCACCAGAACGGCUCCGACAGUGAGGGACGAAAGCUGGGGGAGCAAACCGGAUUAGAUACCCGGGUAGUCCCAGCCGUAAACGAUGCGCGUUAGGUGUAUCGAUGACCACGAGUCAUCGAGGUGCCGAAGGGAAACCGUGAAACGCGCCGCCUGGGAAGUACGGUCGCAAGGCUGAAACUUAAAGGAAUUGGCGGGGGAGCAC
rnacentral:rRNA from 1 species